rnacentral:miRNA from 1 species
CGUGGUGGUGGGGGUGGGG